GGUUCGAUGGCGUAGUUGGUUAUCGCAUCUGUCUAACACGGCCGAAAGGAUUCUCAUUGUGCACAGAAAGUCCCCAGUUCGAGCCUGGGUCGAAUCA